rnacentral:rRNA from 1 species
AUACGAGGGGUGCAAGCGUUGUUCGGAAUUACUGGGCGUAAGGGAGCGUAGACGGAGAUUCAAGCGGAUUGUACAAUCCCGGGGCCCAACCCCGGCUCUGCAGUCCGAACUGGAUCUCUUGGAUAGUUCAGGGGCAGGCGGAAUUCCUGGUGUAGCGGUGGAAUGCGUAGAGAUCAGGAAGAACACCGAUGGCGAAGGCAGCCUGCUGGGGACUUAUCGACGCUGAGGCUCGAAAGUGCGGGUAGCAAACAGGAUUAGAUACCCUGGUAGUCCGCACCGUAAACGAUGCAUACUGGGUGUCCGGGGGUUCCCCCGGGUACCGUAGCCAACGCGUUAAGUAUGCCGCCUGGGGAGUACGUACGCAAGUAUGAAACUUAAAGGAAUUGACGGGG